GCCGGAAUGACGGAAUUGGUAGACGUAGCGGACUUAAAAUCCGCCGCAACAAAAUUGCGUACGGGUUCGACCCCCGUUUCCGGCA
rnacentral:tRNA from 1 species